ensembl:misc_RNA Metazoa_SRP Metazoan signal recognition particle RNA
GCUGGGCAUGGUGGCGCGCGCCCGUAGUCCCAGCUACGUGGGAGGCUGGAGCAGGAGAAUUGCUUGAACCCAGGAGUUGGAGGUUGCAGUGAGCUGGGAUUGUGCCACUGCACUCCAGCCUGGGUGACAGAGCAAGACUCUGUCUCAA